CCUACGGGAGGCAGCAGUAGGGAAUAUUCCUCAAUGGGCGAAACCCUGAAGCAGCAACGCCGCGUGGGGGAUGAAGGUUUUCGGAUCGUAAAACUCUGUUGUUAGAGAAGAUAAUGAGUGUAACUAACUAUGAAGGACUUGCUAACGCCUUGCCAGCAGCCCCGGGAAUACGGCGGGUGCAAGGGUUCCGCGGAAUUACUGGGCGUAAAGAGCGCGUAGGCGGUAUAGCAAGUCAGAUGUGAAAGCCUAUGGCUUAACCAUAGAGCUGCAUUUGAAACUGUUAUGCUAGAGUAUGGGAGAGGUAAGUGGAAUUCUUGGUGUAGCGGUAAAAUCCGUAGAGAUCAAGAGGAAUACUCAUUGCGAAGGCGACCUGCUAGAACAUAACUGACGCUGAUGCGCGAAAGCGUGGGGAGCAAACAGGAUUAGAUACCCCAGUAGUC
rnacentral:rRNA from 1 species